UUGGUGAUGUUCUCUCAUUUUUCUCUCUUUUGCUAAAGAUUACAUAUUGUUAGCCUUGUUGGAGUUGAAUGCUUGUUGUAGGCUUGAUAUUGUGAUCUUGUAGUUGAACAUUUGAUGAUAGUGGAGCUCUUGAUCAGACUCUAAAGUCCCGUGGUUUUUACCCUUGAUUUAGAGGGGUUUUCCACGUAAAAAUACCGGUGUCUCUAUUUAUUUUUGU
rnacentral:lncRNA from 1 species